CGCGGCCUAUCAGCUUGUUGGUGAGGUAAUGGCUCACCAAGGCGACGACGGGUAGCCGGCCUGAGAGGGUGACCGGCCACACUGGGACUGAGACACGGCCCAGACUCCUACGGGAGGCAGCAGUGGGGAAUAUUGCACAAUGGGCGCAAGCCUGAUGCAGCGACGCCGCGUGAGGGAUGACGGCCUUCGGGUUGUAAACCUCUUUCAGUAGGGAAGAAGCGAAAGUGACGGUACCUGCAGAAGAAGCGCCGGCUAACUACGUGCCAGCAGCCGCGGUAAUACGUAGGGCGCAAGCGUUAUCCGGAAUUAUUGGGCGUAAAGAGCUCGUACGCGGUUUGUCGCGUCUGCCGUGAAAGUCCGGGGCUCAACUCCGGACCUGCGGUGGGUACGGGCAGACUAGAGUGUGGUAGGGGAGACUGGGAUUCCUGGUGUAGCGGUGAAAUGCGCAGAUAUCAGGAGGAACACCGGUGGCGAAGGCGGUUCUCUGGGCAUUACCUGACGCUGAGGAGCGAAAGUGUGGGGAGCGAACAGGAUUAGAUACCCUGGUAGUCCACACCGUAAACGUUGGGCACUAGGUGUGGGGGACAUUCCACGUUUUCCGCGCCGUAGCUAACGCAUUAAGCACCCCGCCUGGGGAGUACGG
rnacentral:rRNA from 1 species